GUUUGACUCGUUGGAGGGAUCGGUGAGUACCCAAGAUAAGGUGAUGUCAGAGGUAUAUUUAGGGAAGCAGAUUUGCAAUAUUGUGGCAUGUGAAGGACCGGACCGAAUCGAAAGACACGAGACUCUGACUCAGUGGCGAACUCGUCUGGGUUCCUCCGGAUUUGUUCCCGUUCAUCUCGGGUCAAACGCCUUCAAACAAGCAAGCAUGUUACUAGCCCUAUUUGCUGGUGGAGAUGGGUAUAGAGUGGAAGAGAACAACGGGUGUUUGAUGCUGGGAUGGCAUACUAGGCCGCUGAUUGCAACCUCAGCCUGGAGGCUGGCCAACAAACAAGUAGUAGCUCACUGAGUCAUAACUCAAAACUCGUUCUCAACUCAGGCAAGAUUGAGAUGACCAAUUCAAGUUCACCAAACCCUAGUGAGAGAGUGUGGUAAUGUGAAUUGCUGAGCUGGUAAUGGGUAAAAAAAAAAA
rnacentral:misc_RNA from 1 species